rnacentral:rRNA from 1 species
GGAUCAUUAUAAGAUCUUGGGUUAAGUAAUAGCGAACCUCGCCCCCUCCCCUCACCAACUCAAAGAAAGUAUGGGCUUAGGGCUGUGGGGCGGCGCACCCACCUGAUCCCUACUGGGCUCCAUCGGGCCCUGAGAGACACCCCCCCUGCCGGCUGGCGCUGACGGAACUACCUGGGGGUGUCGGCUGCGUUGUCGAAGCUGGGGACUGGUUUAACCUUCAUACACCUCGGCGUACCACUCCAUGUUGCUUCCCCGAACCCUCUCCAAAUGGGGGAUCGGGGGAGGUCCCUUACCCACAACCCCACUCAAUUGCAAAGUCAGUCCGACGUACCAUAAAAUAUAAAAGUUAAAACUUUCAACAACGGAUCUCUUGGUUCCCGCAUCGAUGAAGAACGCAGCGAAAUGCGAUAAGUAAUGUGAAUUGCAGAAUUCAGUGAAUCAUCGAAUCUUUGAACGCACAUUGCGCCCCCCGGUAUUCCGGAGGGCAUGCCUGUUCGAGCCUCAAUAAAACCUCUCCCCAGAGGGCCACUCUGCAGAGAGCGGCCCUUCCUUUGGGGGUCAUGGUGGACCCGCCGGCCUUCAAAAGCCGUCUGGCCACUCAAAUUCUUGGUCUGCAGGCCACGAGGGGUUGCACCUCGACGUAGUGAUCGUUUUCAUCGUCGGAAGGCGCCCUCAUGUUCCUGGGACCUUAAGCGUCCGUCUUGGAUGCCCAC